rnacentral:rRNA from 1 species
UCAAGUUAGAAAGGGCGUAUGGUGGAUGCCCAGGCACUUAGAGCCGAAGAAGGACGCAGCAAGCGGCGAAACGCUCCGGGGAGUCGCAAGCAGACGCAGAUCCGGAGAUCUCCGAAUGGGGAAACCCGCUUAAGGUAAUACUUAAGCAUCCCAUGGUGAACACAUAGCCAUGAGGAAGGGACACCGCGUGAACUGAAACAUCUAAGUAGCGCGAGGAAAAGAAAGAAAAAGUCGAUUUCCUGAGUAGUGGCGAGCGAAAAGGAAAGAGCCCAAACCCGGCACUCAAUUAGAAUUGUUAAAAAAGCAAAAAUAGAGAAAUAGCAGUUCUAAUUGAGUGCCGGGGGUUUAGGACCACAAGAAGGUAUAAAAAAGCGAAGCCGAACAGACCUGGGAAGGCAGGCCAAAGAAGGUGAAAGCCCUGUAGGCGAAAGCUUCAAAUACCGAGUGGGAUCCAGAGUACCACAGGAUAGGCAACCCGGUGGGAAGACGGGAGGACCAUCUCCCAAGGCUAAAUACUCCUAAGUGACCGAUAGCGCAUAGUACCGUGAGGGAAAGGUGAAAAGAACCCCGGGAGGGGAGUGAAAGAGAACCUGAAACCAUAUGUCCACAAGCAGUGGAAGUCCGGCACUCAACUGAACAUGUUAGAGAGAAGAAAAAAGAACUAGCGUGUCCAGUUGAGAGCCGGACGACCACGUACUUUUUGUAGAACGGACCGGCGAGUUAUAGAUAUGCAGCGAGGUUAAGCGAAAGCGGAGCCGAAGCGAAAGCGAGUCUUAAAAGGGCGAAAGUUGCAUAUCAUAGACCCGAAACCGUGCGACCUACCCAUGAUCAGGGUGAAGCCGGAGUAAGAUCUGGUGGAGGCCCGAACCACGUUGACGUUGAAAAGUCAUGGGAUGAAUUGUGGGUAGCGGAGAAAUUCCAAUCGAGCUCGGAGAUAGCUGGUUCUCCCCGAAAUAGCUUUAGGGCUAGCCUCAGGGGGAAGGAAAUAUGGAGGUAGAGCACUGAAUGGACUAGGGGCCAAAGAGGUUACCGAACCCUAUCAAACUCCGAAUGCCAUAUUGAGACCCUGGGAGUCAGACUACGAGUGAUAAGAUCCGUGGUCAAAAGGGAAAGAGCCCAGACCGACAGCUAAGGUCCCAAAGAGCAUGUUAAGUGGAAAAGGAAGUAGGAUUUCCAAGACAACCAGGAUGUUGGCUUAGAAGCAGCCAUACAUUCAAAGAGUGCGUAAUAGCUCACUGGUCGAGAAAUCCCGCGCCGAAAAUAAACGGGGCUAAAACAUGCCACCGAAGCUACGGAUUCUAAAGAAAGAAUGGUAGGGGAGCGUACUGUACAGGACGAAGGACAAGCGAAAGCGAAUCUGGACAGUACAGUAGAGAGAAUGCCGGUAUAAGUAACGAGAGUAAGGCGAGAAACCUUACCGUCGAAAGCCUAAGGAUUCCUGGGGAAGGAUAAUCCGCCCAGGGUAAGUCGGGACCUAAGCCGAGGCGAAAGCGUAGGCGAUGGAGAACCGGUAAUAAAUCCGGUACCACCGAAAUCCGUCAAAAGAGAAGCAAGGACGCAGCGAGAUAAGAAAAGCGUGCGGUUGGUAGAGCACGUCCAAGCAGCGACGAAAAGAGCUUUGAGUGAAGUACCAAAGCUCAUAAGAGCUGUGAAGGGGAGCCGAAAGGCGAAGUUUCGAAGGGGCUGCCAAGAAAAGUUGCUAUCGAGGAUAAGGUGCCCGUACCAUAAACCGACACAGGUAGGCGAGGAGAGAAUCCAAAGACGAGCGGGAGAACCCUCAUUAAGGAACUCGGCAAAAAGACUCCGUAACUUCGGGAGAAGGAGUGCCGAAAGGCCGCAGAGAAGAGGCCCAAGCGACUGUUUACCAAAAACACAGGUUUCUGCUAAGUCGAAAGACGAAGUAUAGGAGCUGACGCCUGCCCGGUGCUGGAAGGUUAAGGGGAAGGGUCAUCCGGCACUCAACUAUAUAGAUAGAGUUGAGUGCCGGAGAAGCUCUGAACUUAAGCCCCAGUAAACGGCGGCCGUAACUAUAACGGUCCUAAGGUAGCGAAAUUCCUUGUCGGGUAAGUUCCGACCUGCACGAAAGGCGUAACGACUUGGGCGCUGUCUUGAAGGGGGACCCGGUGAAAUUGUAGUACUCGUGAAGAUGCGAGUUACCCGCGACAGGACAGAAAGACCCCAUGGAGCUUUACUGCAGCUUGUCACUGAAUUUUAGUAAUAUCUGUACAGAAUAGGUGGGAGGCAGAGAAAUAUGGGCGCCAGCCUAUAUGGAGCCAACGUUGGGAUACCACCCUGAUAUUACCGAAAUUCUAACAUAGGAGCCGUAAACCGGCAUAUGGACACUGACAGGCGGGCAGUUUGACUGGGGCGGUCGCCUCCUAAAAAGUAACGGAGGCGUCCAAAGGUUACCUCAGCGCGGAAGGAAAUCGCGCGAAAGAGUGCAAAGGCAGAAGGUAGCCUAACUGCGAGAAAGACAAUUCGAGCAGGGACGAAAGUCGGGCUUAGUGAUCCGGCGGUAGAGAAUGGGAUUGCCGUCGCUCAACGGAUAAAAGCUACCCUGGGGAUAACAGGCUGAUCUCCCCCAAGAGUCCACAUCGACGGGGAGGUUUGGCACCUCGAUGUCGGCUCAUCGCAUCCUGGGGCUGAAGUAGGUCCCAAGGGUUGGGCUGUUCGCCCAUUAAAGCGGUACGCGAGCUGGGUUCAGAACGUCGUGAGACAGUUCGGUCCCUAUCCGUCGCGGGCGCAGGAAAUUUGAGAGGAUCUGCCCUUAGUACGAGAGGACCGGGGUGGACAAACCGAUGGUGUACCAGUUGCAAAGCCAUUUGCACAGCUGGGUAGCCAAGUUUGGAAGGGAUAAACGCUGAAAGCAUCUAAGCGUGAAACCCACCUCAAGAUAAGAUUUCCCAUCUGGCACUCAACUAUACUUACUGAAGGGAAAAAGCACUAUGUACAAAUGUUAGGGAAUAAAAUAGAUUACAGUAGGUAGAGUUGAGUGCCAGAGUAAGACACCUUGAAGAAGACGAGGUAGAUAGGCCGGAGGUGUAAGAGUAGAAAUACUUUCAGCUGACCGGUACUAAUAAGUCGAGGACUUGACCUU